UAUCUACUCCCUCCAUUCGGAAUUACUUGUCUCGGAAAUGGAUGUAUCUAGAACUAAAAUACGUCUAGAUACAUCCAUUUCUGCGACAAGUAAUUCCGAACGGAGGGAGUACUCU
rfam:Triticum aestivum genome assembly, contig: Triticum_aestivum_CS42_TGACv1_scaffold_019695_1AS